GGAGAGGUGGCUGAGUGGUCGAAAGCACCGGUUUCGAAAACCGGCAUACCGCAAGGUAUCGGGAGUUCGAAUCUCCCCCUCUCCGCAA
rnacentral:tRNA from 1 species